rnacentral:rRNA from 1 species
CCCAGUGAGUGUAUUAAAUGGCUGCAACGAGAGUUGUACUAAGGUAGCGCGAUAAUUUGUCUCUUAAUUAGAGAAUGGUAUGAAGGGUUAGACGUGGGAUUAUUGUCUCUAAAAAAUACAGUUAAGUUUCCUUUUAAAUGAAAAGGUUUAAAUUUAUUAAAAGACGAGAAGACCCUGUCGAGCUUAAUUAAAUAAAAAACUAGAUAUGGUUAAAUGAAAAGUGUUAAUAGUUUAAUUGUUGGCUGAGUUUUUAAUUGAAGUUUAGUUGGGGAGAGCUGAGUUUAAGGUAAUAAACUUAAGAAAUACUAAAGAUCCUCUUUGAGAGAAGUUAGCAAAAGCUACCGCAGGGAUAACAGCGUAAUUCUUUUUAAGAGAUCUUAUUGAGGGAAGAGUUUGCGACCUCGAUGUUGGAUUAGAAAAACUUUUUGGUGUAGCAGCUAAAAGUUGUAAGACUGUUCGUCUUUUAAUUUUCU